CGAAGGGCGAUAAGUAAUGUGAAUUGCAGUAUUUUCAGUGAAUCAUCGAAUCUUUGAACGCACCUUGCGCUCCUUGGUAUUCCGAGGAGCAUGCCUGUUUGAGUGUCAAUUAAAUUCUCAACCCCGUAACCUUUUGGGUUUCGGGGCUUGGACUUGGAGCGUGCUGGCCGUUCCGGGGUCGGCUCCUCUCAAAUGGCAUCAGCGGAAUCUAACCUUUGGUUUCCGGAAGUCGGUGUGAUAAUCAUGUUGCGCCGUCGUCUGACCUCAAAGUCCGCUUACAAUGGUCUUUAGACAACUUAUCAAAUUUGACCUCAAAUCAGGUAGGACUACCCGCUGAACUUAA
rnacentral:rRNA from 1 species